GAGAGAGAGAGAGAGAGAGAGAGAGAGAGAGAGAGAGAGAGAGAGAGAGAGAAGAAUGGUAGGGGCGAUAGCACCAAGAGAAUCAGAUGCUUUACAGAUAUUCCUGGGUUAAUGGAAUUAUGGUUUAACCUUGAAGAGAGAAACAAAAGGGAAGACAGGCGUGCAUACAAACAGAAGGAUACGCCACAGUCAUCUCUGCCCAAACAUCCGGAAAGCCUGGUAGCCUCAGAGCUGCAGUCUCGUAGAGGUGCCACAAUAACGCCUUCCACAACAUUCUUUAUUUGUGGUUUCCUUUUUUUUUUUUAUUGAGACACGCAGAAGCUCAGAAAUGCUUACAUUUCAAUUCCUUGUGGACUUGCCUGUCAGUACUAAGUCUUUGAUGUCUUUAUCUGGAAACCUAGAUUCAGGAAUGGUUCAUUCCAGACAGCUACUAUCUUCUUUUGACCAGUCAAGAUCUCUGCUCCUUAUUUCUCUAACAGUUGGCUAAGAAAUUGAUCCCGAAUUCCCAUUGUUCCCUGUAGUUUUUAUCUGAUUGUCUUGUGGUAUUUGCUCUGCAUUUGCAAAAGGAGAAUUUUGGCUGUCUGAGGGAAGGACCAGCUGCCUUGCUACCAUCCUUUUCAAGCCGUUUUAUUCCUUGAUAAAACCGUAAAAAGGGAGCCAGAGUCACAAAGGUCAAGAUGGCAGCCAUACAUGUCCAGCUGAAGCCCCACCCCUUUUCCACAUUUAUGGCCCAUAAAAAAUGGGCGGGAGUUUGAUUGCCCAGUCCCGCCCACCCAGUGUAGGUUUUUGAGAACCUGGCCUGAUGUCUCAGGAUAAAACUUUGUUCUAAACCAUCUUGGAUCCAUGUUAUUUUAAGUUACUGAUCUAUUUUUUCCCUUGGUAAAAGAAUAAUUGUGAAUUACUGUCUCAAUUAAAAACACACUUGAGAUUAAUAUUUAAUAAUUACUUUUCAUAAAGCGAUUGUUAAGCGAUCAAUAAUUUAUUUUGAUUCAUCUUUUAACAGUGUUUCAUCCUACCUUACAAGAAAAUUUUAAAAGAUUUAAAAAAAAGGAUUACCUCAUGAGCUUUAUCCUAAACCAGGGGUAGGCAACCUUGGCUCUUUUAUGACUCGUAGACUUCAAUUCUCUUCUGAUCUGACCCCCUUUUUGAGCAGGAGAAUCUGUACCAUUCCAGAUAAAUGGCUGUCCAGAUUCUUCUUCAAAACCUCCAGUGGUGGAGCAGGUGGCAACAUCUGCCAGCAGAGCAUUCCCAGAAAGUGAGGAUUGUACUGCUGGGCUCCAUCAAGCAUCCUGCUACUUUUGGCCUACUUGAAGCAGAGAGAGAUGUAAGAAGGCAAGUGGAUUUUGAAAACAACACAAAUGGAUUUUGAAACAGAAAUAAGUGGAACUGAAUCCCUGCAAGCCUCAAGCAGACCGACUCUGUUUGCCAGUUGAUGUCCACACGUUUGUUUCCUUCUCAUUUUUCUUGCUUCAAAAUGUCUACAUUUCGCCUUAAAGAAAAAUGAUGGUCAUUCAGUUGAUGGAACUGGUUGACUGCUGAAUGGAUGGUUUCUACAUGAGAUGGUGAUGAUGAGAGAGAGAGAGAGAGAUGAUAGAUAGAUAACAGAUAGACAGAGAAACAGAUAGAUUUAUAGAUUUUAGUUAGAUAGAGGGAGAGAGAGAAUUUGCUACCCUUUGGGCAAUACGAACUGACUUGUAGAAUUGUGUUUGAAGUUCAGACUGAGAAACUUUAUGCUAACUCCUUACGCACUUUGUGAUAAAUUUCUGCAUGGAUACUAUGAUGGACAUUUUUAUCUUUCAGGUUUGGCAUCACUUUGUUAAAGUCAAGGAUUUUAUUCCACAUUUCUUAUAUGCCACAGGUUUUCAGAACUUACAUUGAUGUUUGCCAAAUUAUGAUUAUGGAGCAGAUUGGGUAGCUUGCAUGCUAAAGAUCCUUUUCUUUAGGGUGAUGCUAGAGUAAGUAUAUGGAGAACAUGGACUUCAUUUUUUCAUCCCAAUGUUCUACGUUUAUGGUUUAAAAAUAAUCUUUUCAAUGUGGCUGCUGCACAUUUUCUUUCUUUCUUUCUUUCUUUCUUUCUUUCUUUCUUUCUUUCUUUCUUUCUUUCUUUCUUUCUUUUCUUCUUUUUGUUAUGUUAGCUCAAAAUUGGGCUUCGCUGUUAGUUAUACCUCUGGCUUGUCCUGGCAAAGCCAUAUGCCACUUUUAACAAUACUUUUCUCCUCCUCCUCCUCCUCCUCCUCCUCCUCCUCCUCCUCCUCCUCCUCCUCCUCCUCUUUUAUAGGCAAAAACAGACUCAAAGAAAGAAGGAGAGCAUGGAGCCGUGUUUCUCAGCUUGCCCGUUAGAAGACUUCAACCCAUAGAACUCGCCAGUCAACCAGGCUGGCUCAGGAAUUCGGGAAGUUGGGAUCGACCUGUCUUAGCUGACAAGUUUGGGAAACACAGGCACAGAGCUUCUCUUGUGCAAAACCCGUAAGACGAAUUUCAGCCUGUGCUCAUUCAGUCUUAUAAAAAAUGCUAGCAGUAAUUUAUAAGGGCAAGGAGGAGGAGGAAGAACAGGUGAAGCACUCUGGAUAUGGAGAUGUGCUUUUCUUUCUCCUUCUCGGGAGCAGCUCUCCUGCAAGGGGAAAUAAUUGAAAAUCAAGAAAAUCAAGUCACGGGGGGGGGGGGAGCAGGUGCUUUGGCGGCUACUUACAUCAAGGCAUAUCAGCCUGCUCAGUGGGGACCAUUUCCUGCUUUAGAAGCCUGGAAGUUGCUCUCCUGGCUGGCGACCUUGGGACUCCCGUGUUUCUUGAACACGGCUGAGGUGGGUUCCCAGCCACUUGGAUGAAGGAACCUGCAAUCCUCUUGGAAGCUACUCUUCCUUUCUUUGGAGUCCAAAGGGAGCGCCCCUUCUCGGCAUCGGAAGGGAAAUGGGCACCCCGUGUUCGGGGAGGGUGGCAGUUCUCUGCUUUCUCCCUGGGUGGCCCAGGGUUAAAGGGUGGCUGGUGCAGCCCAAGGACGAGUCCGGCCCUGAACGGCCAGGAGAAGGGGGGGGGAUCGGAGGCCAGGGAGACAGGAGGACUCUCUUCCCCAUCACUUAAUUAAUGGAAAGCACUCCGUGCAUCUGUCAGCAGCUCCACUGUGAGGCAAUUUUUGUCAUAAAAGGCCCCCAUUCAUCAGUUGCCAGGAGAGCCGUGGCCUAUUCUUGAAUUCAUACAAAACUCAAAAGAAAAAACAACAAGCACAGCCUGGCUAAUUGAGUAGCGUGUGGGAUGCAGCUGGUGCUACUGUUGGACGGGGUGAGGCUUCCUCUCCCCCCCCCCUUCCCUUCCCUGAGAUAAUGCCCAACUUGGAUUGGGGGGGAGGGGAGGGGGGCAGCAUCAUUGUCCGACUGGCUCAGCUUUUAUCAAAAGGAAGAUUAAUCCCAUCUUUAUGAAGGAGGGAGAACAUAAAAAUGCCGUUCACCAGCCGGGUAGCCCAAAGACGUUCAUGUGGCCUUAUAGCAGGGGUCUUCAAACUUGGCCCUUUGGUGACUUGUGGACUUCAACUCCCAGCGUUGCUGGCUGAGGAAUUCUGAGAGUUGAAGUCCACAAGUCAUCAAAGGGCCAAGUUUGAAGACCCCUGCCUGAAAGGGUCUGGGGACUCCGUUAUGGGAACUCAGCCCCUGGCUAAGCAUGUGGGGGGGGGGUAGAUUGAUGGAGCAGCCACAACGUCUAGAGGGUGACAGUUCUCACUGGCAGGAAAUUUCUCCUGACUUCUAGAAGGGAUCUGUCUUUAAUGAUCCUCUAGUCCUGCUCUCAGGUGCUUUGGAGAAUAAAGGCAGCUAUCCUGUCACCCCUAAUCCUUCUCCCCUUUAGGCUAGCCAUGCCCAGAGCCCCCAAACCCUUAUUGUAGAACUUAGCCUCCAGACCCCUAAUCAACUUUUUGUGGCUCUUCUCUGCGCACCUUCUCUGAUCAUGGCGGCUUUUAUGUAUCUUGGUGACCAGAAUUGGAUACUGCUGUGGAUGUUGGUCUGCAUUUCUUCAUGGGGUAAUGGGAGGGGUCAUCUUAAAUUAGGAUUUCUUCCCUCCCUACUCCCCCAAAAAAAGUAUGUUGUCCCAAAGAAAGCAGAGCUGAUGUUUCUGGCUCUACUUCCUUCCCUCCGUUCUGCAGAAGAAGCUUGCAAUCGGAUGCGCUCCGGAGGUUUUAGACUCUUAGUCCCCUGUGAGUCCUGGCCAGAUGUGCAGUCAGAUGUUGGAAGUUGAUCAUCUGGAAGUGAUGUGAAGUUUGCCCACUCUGGCACCGGGCUAACUGAGAAGUCUGUUAGGUGUGCCUAUUCUGUGGCCAGCUUUAAUCUGCUGAUUAUUGUGGCACGAGGUUGUCUCAACUGGAAGGUGGAUUUAAGCAGCUGGACAGAAAUGUUGUAAAUGGACAGACUCAGCACUCUUCGUUCAGCAAAAUUAAUUUGCUUAUGAUUGCAGGGCGGGGUUUUUUUAGGGAAGGAUCUGUGAUUAAUUGAAAACUUGGAACAUACUCUUCUGCUUCUUUUCUGGGGUUCUUGACCCUGCGGCUCCUAACAUCACACAAUCCAUGGCUUUUGGCCUUUAAGCCAUGGCCUCUUCUAGAUGCCCCUAUAGCCUCCCGGGCCCCCGAGAAUUUCCCACCAGGCUCUUGCCAACCCUUUAGGCCAUUCAUUUUGGUUGUCUGUCACAAUGAAUUGUGGUCACUUACAAAGGAUCCUCCCUGCCACCGAGGCCCCUCUGGCUCCAUGCAAAAAGGGCUUCGGAGUGAGCUGUGGAUGCAUCUCCUGCUAACACCCCCCCCCCUCCCUCUCUCUCUCUCUGUACCGGCCCCAAACCUCUUGUCCUCCUGCUUUUCCAGGAGACAAGCUUUCUCUCUUCCAAGCUUCCCAAGCAACAAAGAGAGAGAGAGAAAGCUCUGACUUCUCUCUGGAGCAACUUCUCUGCCAUGGAGGUCAGAUGGGCCCUACCCUGACGGCCUUACAGGAAGUCCUUGACUUGUGACAGAGGGAGGCCUAGUUUUAAAUGAGUCAUGCCCAAUUUCGUGACCAUGAUUGUUGAAUGAAUUACUGCAGUUGUUAAGUGAAGGACGUGGUCCUUAAAUGAAUCCGCCUUCCCCCGUUGACUUAGCUUGUGGAAAGCUGGCUGGGAAGGGCACCAGGGGGGAUCGCGUGAUUCCGGGUUGCUGCAACCAUUGUCGACGUUCUGUUUCCAAGCAGCCAAAUUUCCAUCACCGGACGUAGGGAGGCUGCAAUGGUCAUAAGUACGAGGACCGGUUGGAAGUCACUUUUUUGGUGCCAUGGUAACUUGAACAGUUGCUAAACAAAUAGUAAGUUGAGGACAAUCUGUAUACAACAUGUUGAAAGUGGUCCUCUUCAGGGGGUUAUUCGGAUGUGCCUAAUGGAGGUAAUGGUUUUUAUUAAUAGUUUUAAUUAGCAUUUAUUGCUUUUAAGUCUUUGGCUUUGAUUUUAUGAGUGUUCUCUAUGCUUUAUUGUGCUCAUUGUGAGGAGUUCAAAAUGAGGGCCUUGCGGAACGAGUGGCAUACAAAUGCGUGUCCCUGGCAGGGAGGGCGGGCGGGUGGGUGCCUGCUCCAAAAUGGCGGAGGAGAAGUUGGGGAGGGAGGAGAGGACCGUCCUCUCCCACAGGGGUGUCCACAGGUUGACAGGAAAAGCUGCCAGGCCUCCCCCGAGGCCGCCUUCUUCCUCCCUGGCCUCUCUGGGCAAAGACUUGGCCUCCAUGGCUGCUUUCCUCAAUUAAGGAAAAGCCAAAGUCUGGCUGAUGAUGGGUUUGGCCUCACCCUGGCUGGCCCUCCGUCCACCUCUGGAGCUCAGCCCACAGCAGGGCACGAGCAGGCGCCAGGGGCCUCUCCCCAAGAGCCCCCGAACCCUCAGAGUGGAUGGGCGCCUUUCCAUUUGGCCACUGAGAGGACAACUAGGGAGUCCCUGGCUUACCACAGCUCAUUUAGUGACGGUUCAAAGUUACAAUGGCACUGAGAAAAUACUGCUGCCGUGACAGCAUAGCCGCAGUACAAAAAAAGUGGACGAUGCACACCAAGUUUACUUCCAACCAUGUUUCAUCUCGGAAGAACUGAGAUCAAACCUGGAUGGAAAGAAACCCUGUGGGCAUCGUCCGCUUUCCCUACUGCAGCCGGGCCCUCCUGGUGGCCCUCACUGUGCGUCUUACUGGGUGCACAUAUUCAAAGCAAGCUUUAUUUAUUUCAUUUAUUUACAAAACCUACAUGCCCCCCCCCCCGUCUCACAACAAGCCAUUAAAAAACAUGGCGAGAAACAGGUCCAGAAGUUGCUUUGGGAUUUUGAAAAAUUGCUGGUAAUUCUUUCAAAGCAGUCAGGAAGACUCAGGGAUCCAUCUGUCUUUAAGGAUGAAUCUUUUAAAUCAUUGUUUAUGUAAGCGGAUCACAGCUUAAACUCAGAGCCCUUCAUUGUUUAUUUUUUAAUUAAAGGCUUUGGGGGAGGAUUCGCAUUACAAAUAUCUCCUUCCUUGUCAAACAUAUAGUUAAUGACACAAAACAGCAAGUCUCUAAUCUUCCCCUCCCCUCCCGUGACCCCCACCCCUGCCUUGGCCGCUCCUUCCUUUAGGCCAUUGACACGUAUUGACCUCUUUACAGCAAUCGUACUCCCAUCGCUUGAUGAGCCUGUUGCGGAACAAUAGAAGCAGAGACAACGGGGAAUUAAAGAGGCUGGUGCACGCAGCAGAGUGUGGAUAGCCAGGUCCAGCAAAAUUUAGGCUGUCGUGAUCAUCAUCAAGAACAUCAUCAUUAAAAGUAAACGUGAAAGGCGUGUGGCAUUAUUAAUCUUCCUCUUAGCAGUAAAAACUACAAGCAAAGGAGGGGUCAGCAGUGGCAAAAGGGCCUCCUCAGAAGUUCCAAGAUCUCCGAACAGAAGGAAAGAAAAGAUGUUCACCCAACUCUCGUCCAUCUCCUUCCCCACAACCCCCAAACCAGAACUGCCGUUUCUGUGCUGAUGAGAGCAGCAGGGAAAGAGAGAUCCUGAUCGGAAUUGCCGAAGGCCAGGAAAGAGGAUUUAAUCUCACUUUUCCCAGCAGGACUCAUACGGGCAAAAUUGAUGCUUUCAUGAAGGCAAAUAAAAUCGGCUGUUUCUGUAGCUGCCAUA